rnacentral:rRNA from 1 species
AGCGAAAGGUGCUUGCACCUUUCAAGCGAGUGGCGAACGGGUGAGUAACACGUGGAUAACCUGCCUCAAGGCUGGGGAUAACAUUUGGAAACAGAUGCUAAUACCGAAUAAAACUUAGUAUCGCAUGAUACAAAGUUGAAAGGCGCUACGGCGUCACCUAGAGAUGGGUCCGCGGUGCAUUAGUUAGUUGGUGGGGUAAAGGCCUACCAAGACAAUGAUGCAUAGCCGAGUUGAGAGACUGAUCGGCCACAUUGGGACUGAGACACGGCCCAAACUCCUACGGGAGGCUGCAGUAGGGAAUCUUCCACAAUGGGCGAAAGCCUGAUGGAGCAACGCCGCGUGUGUGAUGAAGGCUUUAGGGUCGUAAAGCACUGUUGUAUGGGAAGAAAUGCUAGAAUAGGGAAUGAUUCUAGUUCGACGGUACCAUACCAGAAAGGGACGGCUAAAUACGUGCCAGCAGCCGCGGUAAUACGUAUGUCCCGAGCGUUAUCCGGAUUUAUUGGGCGUAAAGCGAGCGCAGACGGUUGAUUAAGUCUGAUGUGAAAGCCCGGAGCUCAACUCCGGAAUGGCAUUGGAAACUGGUUAACUUGAGUGUUGUAGAGGUAAGUGGAACUCCAUGUGUAGCGGUGGAAUGCGUAGAUAUAUGGAAGAACACCAGUGGCGAAGGCGGCUUACUG